rnacentral:scRNA from 1 species
CAUGGUUUCCAAGGACCUCAAACCCUGUAUUAAAUCUCAUGUUAAAAAGACCUGCAGUCAUGGAGGUCUCUGGUCUAGGACAGCUGACUCAGUCUGAUCGUUCCCUUCAUACUGC